rnacentral:rRNA from 1 species
UGGGGAAUAUUGCACAAUGGGCGAAAGCCUGAUGCAGCGACGCCGCGUGAGUGAAGAAGUAUUUCGGUAUGUAAAGCUCUAUCAGCAGGGAAGAAAAUGACGGUACCUGACUAAGAAGCCCCGGCUAACUACGUGCCAGCAGCCGCGGUAAUACGUAGGGGGCAAGCGUUAUCCGGAUUUACUGGGUGUAAAGGGAGCGUAGACGGUAAAGCAAGUCUGAAGUGAAAGCCCGCGGCUCAACUGCGGGACUGCUUUGGAAACUGUUUAACUGGAGUGUCGGAGAGGUAAGUGGAAUUCCUAGUGUAGCGGUGAAAUGCGUAGAUAUUAGGAGGAACACCAGUGGCGAAGGCGACUUACUGGACGAUAACUGACGUUGAGGCUCGAAAGCGUGGGGAGCAAACAGG